CGACCUCAGAUUAGGUGGGAUUCCCCGCUGAAUUUAAGCAUAUUAGUAAGCGGUGGAAAAGAAACCAACAGGGAUUCCCUUAGUAGCUGCGAGUGAACAGGGAUUAGCUCAGCACUGAUCCCAAAAGCAUUGCUUUUAGGAAAUGUAGUGUUUGGGAGGGCUCAAUUAA
rnacentral:ncRNA from 1 species